rnacentral:rRNA from 1 species
UGAUCUCAAAUCAGGUAGGACUAC